UUAUACUUGACCCAUGAAUGGUCCACCCUACAUAUACCUUCUUCCAUUUCAAUCAGUUAUGCUUCCAUGCUCAUUUACAUUCUCUCUCUACGUGUUCUGUCUAAGGGGAAUCAACUUCUCUCACGUUGGCUGUUACGUUUGUAUAGAAGUACCUCACUUGUUCUCCCUAAUCUUCACAGGUUUACUGUAAUCUCGUUCGUUGCUCCUCUGUUUAUGAGGUUGACAUUUAUUACUCAUAGGUCACAGUCAGGCUUUUCCCUUACAGCCUAAUAUGCGC